AUUGAACGCUGGCGGCAGGCCUAACACAUGCAAGUCGAGCGAGCGGCGGACGGGUGAGUAAUGUCUGGGAAACUGCCUGAUGGAGGGGGAUAACUACUGGAAACGGUAGCUAAUACCGCAUACCAUCGGAUGUGCCCAGAUGGGAUUAGCUAGUAGGUGGGGUAAUGGCUCACCUAGGCGACGAUCCCUAGCUGGUCUGAGAGGAUGACCAGCCACACUGGGACUGAGACACGGUCCAGACUCCUACGGGAGGCAGCAGUGGGGAAUAUUGCACAAUGGGCGCAAGCCUGAUGCAGCCAUGCCGCGUGUGUGAAGAAGGCCGUCGGGUUGUAAAGUACUUUCAGUGGGGAGGCGUUACGCGCAGAAGAAGCACCGGCUAACUCCGUGCCAGCAGCCGCGGUAAUAC
rnacentral:rRNA from 1 species